GACGAACGCUGGCGGCGUGCUUAACACAUGCAAGUCGAACGGAAAGGCCUCAGCUUGCUGGGGUACUCGAGUGGCGAACGGGUGAGUAACACGUGGGUGAUCUGCCUUGCACUCUGGGAUAAGCUUGGGAAACUGGGUCUAAUACCGGAUAUGAACUGCCUUUAGAGUGGUGGUUGGAAAGUUUUUUCGGUGCAAGAUGAGCUCGCGGCCUAUCAGCUUGUUGGUGGGGUAAUGGCCUACCAAGGCGUCGACGGGUAGCCGGCCUGAGAGGGUGUACGGCCACAUUGGGACUGAGAUACGGCCCAGACUCCUACGGGAGGCAGCAGUGGGGAAUAUUGCACAAUGGGCGGAAGCCUGAUGCAGCGACGCCGCGUGGGGGAUGACGGCCUUCGGGUUGUAAACUCCUUUCGACAGGGACGAAGCUUUUUGUGACGGUACCUGUAUAAGAAGCACCGGCUAACUACGUG
rnacentral:rRNA from 1 species